GGUNGACGCUGGCGGCGUGCCUAAUCAUGCAAGUCGAGCGCAGGAAGCCGUCUGAACCCUUCGGGGGGACGACGGUGGAAUGAGCGGCGGACGGGUGAGUAACACGUAAAGAACCUGCCCAUAGGUCUGGGAUAACCACGAGAAAUCGGGGCUAAUACCGGAUGUGUCAUCGGACCGCAUGGUCCGCUGAUGAAAGGCGCUCCGGCGUCGCCCAUGGAUGGCUUUGCGGUGCAUUAGCUAGUUGGUGGGGUAACGGCCCACCAAGGCGACGAUGCAUAGCCGACCUGAGAGGGUGAUCGGCCACACUGGGACUGAGACACGGCCCAGACUCCUACGGGAGGCAGCAGUAGGGAAUCUUCCACAAUGGACGAAAGUCUGAUGGAGCAACGCCGCGUGAACGAUGAAGGCUUUCGGGUCGUAAAGUUCUGUUGUAAGGGAAGAACAAGUGCCGCAGGCAAUGGCGGCACCUUGACGGUACCUUGCGAGAAAGCCACGGCUAACUACGUGCCAGCAGCCGCGGUAAUACGUAGGUGGCAAGCGUUGUCCGGAAUUAUUGGGCGUAAAGCGCGCGCAGGCGGCCUCUUAAGUCUGAUGUGAAAGCCCCCGGCUCAACCGGGGAGGGCCAUUGGAAACUGGGAGGCUUGAGUAUAGGAGAGAAGAGUGGAAUUCCACGUGUAGCGGUGAAAUGCGUAGAGAUGUGGAGGAACACCAGUGGCGAAGGCGACUCUUNGCCUAUAACUGACGCUGAGGCGCGAAAGCGUGGGACAAC
rnacentral:rRNA from 1 species